rnacentral:lncRNA from 1 species
GCUUUGUUUACCCAAGCAAGCCUGGGCAAUGGCGGGCGCCCCUCCCCCAGCCUUGCUGCGGCCUUGCAGUUUGAUCUCAGACUGCUGUGCUAGCAAUCAGCGAGACUCCGUGGGCGUAGGACCCUCCUAGCCAGGUGCAAGAUAUAAUCUCGCGGUGCGCCGUUUUUUAAGCCGGUCCGAAAGCGCAAUAUUCGGGUGGGAGAGACCCGAUUUUCCAGUGAGAUGAACCCAGUACCUCAGAUGGAAAUGCAGAAAUCACCCGUCUUCUGCGUCGCUCACGCUGGGAGCUGUAGACCGGAGCUGUUGCUAUUCGGCCAUCUUGGCUCCUCUCCUGCACUGCAAGAAUGGACUAAUACGCUAUGUGAAGACAAAGGGGAUGUCUGCAAGCCAGGACGAGUGCGUCUACCAGAAACUGAGUUCUGCUGGACUUUGAUCUAGGACAUCCAGCCUCCAGAAUGGAAUGUGCCAUAUGUGGAGACCUGCAUGGAAAGGAACUGAGGAUGCUCUCUCACUAAAAGCUAGAAGGAACUGAGGCCCUCAGUCAACAGUCUACAAGACACUGAAUCUUGCCAGCAGCCAAGCAGUGAGCUUGAAAGCAGAUCUAUCAUCAGCUGAACCUUCAGAUGAGACCGCAGCCUAAGCAGAUACCUUGGUUGCAGCCAUGUGAGACAACCUGAAACAGAGGGCACAGCUAAGCCUCAGCCAGGUUCAUGACCCUCUGAGGAAACUGUGAGAAAGCAAAUGUCAUUUUAAGCUAUUUAAUUUUGGAGGUAGUUUAUUACACAACAAUAAAUAACUAUUAUAAUUAUCUUGAGGAUUUAUUUCCUGGGGAGAAUACAUGGAAUUGCAUAUAUAGGUCCUCAUAUGCAGAAUACUGGUACCCUAGAGAUGUUCACCCCAGAGAUGUUUUAGGAACCUGUGAAUAUGUUACAUUAAAUGGCAAAGUUUUCCUGGAUGGUUUAAGUUUAAGAUGGAAAAGUUUUACUGGAUUAUCCAGUGGGUCCAAUCUAGUAACAUGAGUCCUUAAAAAUGGAGAAUAUUUUUUGGCCAUGAUCAGAGAGACAUGUGAUGAUGGAAAAAGUGUCAGAGAUGCAAUGUGAGGGGACUAAAACUGCUGUUGCUGACUUUAAAGAUGGAGAGAGGGGAACCCGAGUCAAGGAAUGCAAAUGGCCUCUGGAAGCUGGAAAAAGCAAGAAAUGGAUUCUCCUUUAGAGCCUGUGGAAUAAAAUGCAGUCAUGCUGACACCUUGAUUUUACCUCAGUGAGACCAAUACUGGAGUAUGACCUUCGGAGCUGAAUAAAAUUAUACGUACACAUCUUAAUUUCUUGGGAUUUGAUUACUUCUUCUGCUUUGAAAUUAGACCAAGUUUAGCCUGCCUUUGCUAUUUUGGCGUAUCUCCAAUUCUUCAUGAUUUUCUCAUAUGGAGUCUUGCUCUGUCACACAUGCUAGAGUCCAGUGGUAUGACCUCAGCUCACUGCAAUCUCUGCCUCCCGGGUUCAAAUGAUUCUUCUGCCUUGACCUCCCUGGCAGCUGGGACUACAGGCCUGCACCACCACGCCUGGCAAAUUUUUUAAUUUUUUUUAGUAGAGAUGGGGUUUCACCAUGUUGGCCAGGCUAGUCUCGAACUCCUGACCUCAAAUGAUCUGCCCGCUUUGGCCUUCCAAAGUUCUGGGAUUAUAGGAGUGAGCCACCAUGCCCAGCCUGUUCUUAAGUCUCCUAGAACAGGGAUUCUGAAACACAAAACUCAUCUGGCAAAGAGUUCUAAGAUGCAUUUCACAGCACUCCACAGAAGGAAGGUUCAGAGCCAAUCAUCUGCACCAGUGCCCAACUUAAAAACAUCCUUGUAUCAGUUUUCCCUUAUUUCCUGUUCUCCUCCCUAAACCUUCAGUCCUGUUCCUGGCAAUCACUUCCAGAAUAAACCAUAUACAUGCCUCAGAUUCUGAUCUCAGAGGAUCCCAGACUAAUACAGAGAUACACUAUGCUGAUUGCUUAACCCGCAUUUUCUCAUUUAAUUGAAACAUAUACGUGGUAAGGUAUUUAUUCAUACCUGCAUGAUUUUGUAGAUAAACCUUAGAGAAAUUAAUACUUUUCAGAAGGCAAUUAAAGUAACACAGCAAGCAAUUGAUAAAACCUGGAUUCGCCAAGUUAAACUGGUCUGGUUUCAAAACCUGUAUUGUUUCCUAACAUACCACCUAAAUUCUCAAAUGGUAUUGGAAGGGGUUAAAUGAGAUUAUAAAUGUAAAAUUCUUGGUAUAGUUAAUUCUCAAAAAUAGGCCUUCAAUCUAUAGAAUCCAUUUGUAGAACUAUCUUCAGGAAGGAAAAAUACAUCACCCUCCACCCCACCCUCAAAGAAACAUGGAAAAUUUAAACUAAGACUUCAAAUCUUGAGCUCUGCACAUCUUAGAAUAUUUUGUUUCUAUGAAAAAGAAGCUUUGGAGAAUGUGUAUCAGUCUGAAACACUGUAGUGUGAGCACAGAAAUCAGCCCAUCACAUUAUGCCCCAAAUGCUGAAGUACGGCUGAAUCUGAUUGCCCUGCAUUUUUAAGUACUGCAAAAUUCUGGGACUUGGGAUCAUCUGUUACUACAGACUUGUCAUAUUCCACUGAAAUAAAACAUAUAGUCUAAUUUGCAAAGUUCUCGUGUGGAAAGAGUCCUAAAAUGUAUAUAACCUCUGUCCCAGCAAUUCCAUUAGGAAUUUAUCCAAUCCAAAAUCUAAAAUGCAGAAGAUCUACAUAUUGAAUGCUUAUGGCAGCAUUCUUUAAAAUUAUGAAAAUUGAAAGCAACCAAAAUCCUCAAAAACAGACUAAUGGCUAAGUAGUAUAACCAUACUAUGAAAUGUGGUAAUUGAAUAUUCAAAUUUGUGUUGUAUAAAAAAUUAAUAAUGGUAUAACAUUUGGCUAUAAAAUAGAAUGAAUUCAAUUGUAUUUUUUAAACCAGUACAUCUGCAUAUUUGUGAACCUAAAAGAUAAGACGGUAAAUAUUUAACUGUAUUUUUCUUUAAUUGUUGGGGCUGUGAAUUAUUUUAAUUUUCUUAAUGCUUUUUAAUCUUCUCUGAAAAUUUUAUAAUAAUCUCUAAUAAUAAUUUAUAGCAAAAAAACCCAAAAUUUUAAAGGGUAUUCUUUUUGUAUUUUUAUCAAGAAUAAAAAUAUAUAUCAAU